GUCCGGGCUGAGCUAUGAUUGACUUACAGUCCUACAAAUCAUUCCUCUGCUCUCCUCCCUCUUGCCUCCUAACCGGGAGACAAGCAGGGUGGGAGGGAACAGCCGUCACAAGCCCCUAAUGAAUGAGGGGAGAGACAUCCCACAGCUUUCCUCUGCUUGGCUGCGAGCAGGCAAGGGGAGCAGGCAGAGCUGAAACCCUGGGGUGAGCAGCAGGCUAAGCAGUGCUGCUCCCGCUCAAUGGGAUGCUGAAUCCCCCCGGGUAAGGUGCAGGGUGCUGGGCUGAAGAACAAGGAGCCAAGAAGAGCCAUGCCGUGAAGGAUUUGCUCAUGCCAAGGUGCCACGCAGCGCUGCGUGCCGUGCUGGAGCGUUUCCAGAUCCGGAGAUGUUGCAUUUGUAACAAAUCAGUAUGCGUGCUGCUUGCUCUGUUGGAAUAUCAUCAUUGUCCUUUAUUACAUUAAAGGGGAACAUCUUUAUCUCAUGGUGAUUUGGGUGGGACGUGACAUUGCCUGAUGUAAGAGGGGCCUGUAAUAUCAAGGAGACAGCCAUGAAAUAAUGCGUUACACACUGAAUUGAACAGCAGGCUCAUUUACAUUUCUUUAAUUUGGAAAUAUGAACAUUCGGAAAUUCUCUUCUCCACUUGCAUUCCCUUAUUUGGGGAACAUGUAAAUUACAUUUAUGAUAAUCUAGUAUUUAACUGGUACAAGCAUUGCAAAUUCCAGAAGCAAAUGUUUCAAAAUAAGCAGGAGCUGUGCCAACUACCUUUGAAAAUGCAUGUGGCAAAAACCACCUCUGCAGAUGACUCAGGGUGCAUUAUCUUCGGCUUCUGGACCUGCUCCUGCAAAGCUUGUAGAGCAGAUGGGAUGGCCAGGGUGAGGCUUGUAGGGCUGGACCUUUUCUCCCAGUCACAGUCGAGCAUGGCAGAUGGAUUUAAUUAAUAAACUGGUUGUAUCGCCUCUUCUGUUGUGCGCAGGGUCAUUUUUCGCAGCCUGUGAGACCCCGGAAUUGCAGAUGAAAAUGACGGCAAAGGACCUUUUGGAUCAGCCAUGCUCAAAGAAUGCUGAAAAGCCUCUUCUACGAACAAAAUCAUCCAGGAGACUUCCAAGGAAGAGUUCCUCCCCUUCAGAAAAACCUCUGCAGAUGCCUCAGUGA
rnacentral:lncRNA from 1 species